rnacentral:lncRNA from 1 species
UUCCAGUAGGAGCCACCAUCCAUGAUUUGGAUCCACAUGCUUUUUUCAGUAAGGAUUCAAAGUAGCAGAGAAUUGAUACUAUGGUGAAAAAAGAUAAGAAAAAGGAUAUAUGACGAGCUAUUGGAUCAUGAGUUUAUUUCAGCGAUAUUUCAGCAAAUACAACAGAUAAUCCUUACUAUCUAUCUGCUAUUCAGCCAUG